ACAAUGUAAAAUAUAUCCAUGCAGAGACUUUGUAGAUAAAAAAAUUACCAGAAGAUCAAUAAUUGCUAUGUGGGCUGGACUCAGCUGAAGUCCAAGGAAAGACAGAGGAGGGGAAAUAAGACAGCGAGUGCAGACAGUUUAAACCCUGGAGAGAUGCUGAGCCAAGCGGGUUUUUGGAGACUGUGUGACCUGAUGUGUGUUCAGACCCAGCAAAAGCUUCUUAUCAGAGACUGGCGUCUUCCUCAGAAAGCAAAGGCCUGAAACAGGAUGAAGCUAAAGAGGAUGCAGAAGCAAAUGACUUCCCAUUCA